ACCAUCUAUGAGGAAAGCCACAGAGGUCGAUCCGUUUUAGACAGGUUAAAAGAAUGGUGUGGUCUACUGUAUCGAAGGCAGCGCUUAAAUCCAGUAGAACCAACACUGUCCCCUUCCAGGCAUCAUAGUUUGCUCUAAAAUCAUUUAAGAUCUUCAGAAGGGCUAUCUCAGUGCCGUGGUUUGGAUAUUGUCCAAUACGUUAUUUGUCAAUGUUAUCGUGACAAAUUGACCAAUCGUGGCAGCACUACAAUUGUUCUAGCAGUCUGAGUCAAUGCUUAGCUGCAGACAAAAAUCAGGUAGUGUGAUGUUUUUUAUGAUCCACUUGCAACAUCAGUUUGGUUUGCAAAGUUUCUGACUUUAAUCAGCAUGUCACCUUUUUUUGCUUUUCCCAUUGACGAAGUAAGAGAUUGGUCAUGAUUUACAAUGUUUUUGAUAAAAUUUCACAAAAGGUACUUUUAACCUCCAAAACCAAUUAAACCUGCAUUUCCUGUUCCUCCCACACCACUGACUAAAGCCCAGUUUGUGCUUCAGCGUCAGCUCCACGAGGGACAGGAUGUUUAGAAAAGUGGGCUCGACUCUGUGUGUCCUUGUGAGCCCUUGCAACUGCGGAUAAUGGUGUUGUGUGUCUUCGUACUUAUGCAGAUGUGGAAGCAUCAACUAGGCUUAACAAAUACUCAAACUGUGCAACAUGACAGGAAUAACUUUUCUUGCCCUUGGCAAAAUUAAAUUAAAUUAAAUUAAAAUUUUUAUGAUUUUUUUUCAUUGUUAUUGAUUUUUUAAAUUGUUUUUAUUUAAUUGCAAAGCACUUUUGGCUUAUGUUAUCUGUGAAUGUUGCCAAUCUUAUUUUCUUGACCAGAAAUUGUGUUUUAUUUUAUCUACACGUUUUUGACAUAUGUCUCUUGAAAAAUAAUGUCACGGUCUGGGGUUUUCCUCCUACGACUUUCUAUUUGGUUUUGAGUCUCCUGCUGCAGGUGGGCGUGUCUGGACUGGAGGUGGCCAAGCUGCUGAUCAUCAGCUCAUCAGUCGGCCAGGGAGUACUUAAGCAGCUGAGAGACAUCUUCACUUCGCUGGAUUAUUACUCUACCUGGACAAGACCUCCACCUCAUCUCUGACUUGCAGAACUCUAGAACCUCUGCACCCGCUUGUCUCUCAGUCCUUCCCUGGCCAAAGUCGCCUCCAGCAGCCCACCUAUUCUCUCCUGGAUCUGCACAUCACCACGCUCAGCUCCCUCCACCUCCAUCUCUGGACCUCGGCUCCUAGGAACUCCCAUCUACCCAGACCGGACCACUCCCCCCUCAAGCUAUUCCCUCUUCAAACUGUAAGUCCUCAAGGAUAACUCAAAUCCCCUGUUGCCCUCUUUGAGCUGGACCUAACCUCCCUCUGUCGGGAGAUUCCCGCACCUGACUCCUGUUGGAAGAUCUCAGCCACAUUAAGGCUGCUCCCUUGGUUCCUCUUAAUAAAUUAUUUUUUAAAAACUCUUA